rnacentral:RNase_P_RNA from 1 species
AGAGUUGGCGAGGUGGUUGCGGACUGGAAACAGUCUGAGGAAAGUCCGGGCUCCCCAAAGACCAGACUUGCUGGGUAACGCCCAGUGCGAGCGAUCGUGAGGAUAGUGCCACAGAAAAAUACCGCCAUCACAACACCAGUGGUGGUAAGGGUGCAAAGGUGCGGUAAGAGCGCACCAGCAGGGUCGAGAGGCUCUGGCUCGGUAAACCCCGGUUGGGAGCAAGGUCGGAGGAACUACGGUUGGUCUUUUACCAGUUCCGACGGACAGCGUGGGGAAACCUGCGGUGUUCGAGGCGUACCGCAAGAGGUGUCUGGUAACAGGCAUCCCAGAUAGAUAACUGCCCCCUUAACCUCCGGGUUGGGGGAACAGAACCCGGCUUAUGUCUGACUCUCUCC